rnacentral:tRNA from 1 species
GGUGAUGUUAACAAGACAAUGCUGGGAGAGCACUAGCUUCGCAUGUUAGGGGUCAGGGGUUCGAAUCCCCUUAUCUCCACCA